UUGCCCUAGUAACGGCGAGUGAAGCGGCAACAGCUCAAAUUUGAAAUCUGGCUCUUUCAGAGUCCGAGUUGUAAUUUGCAGAGGGCGCUUUGGCUUUGGCAGCGGUCCAAGUUCCUUGGAACAGGACGUCACAGAGGGUGAGAAUCCCGUACGUGGUCGCUAGCUAUUGCCGUGUAAAGCCCCUUCGACGAGUCGAGUUGUUUGGGAAUGCAGCUCUAAAUGGGAGGUAAAUUUCUUCUAAAGCUAAAUAUUGGCCAGAGACCGAUAGCGCACAAGUAGAGUGAUCGAAAGAUGAAAAGCACUUUGGAAAGAGAGUCAAACAGCACGUGAAAUUGUUGAAAGGGAAGCGCUUGCAGCCAGACUUGCUUGCAGUUGCUCAUCCGGGCUUUUGCCCGGUGCAUUCUUCUGUAGGCAGGCCAGCAUCAGUUUGGGCGGUGGGAUAAAGGUCUCUGUCAUGUACCUCUCUUCGGGGAGGCCUUAUAGGGGAGACGACAUACCACCAGCCUAGACUGAGGUCCGCGCAUCUGCUAGGAUGCUGGCGUAAUGGCUGUAAGCGGCCCGUCUUGAAACACGGACCAAGGAGUCUAACAUCUAUGCGAGUGUUUGGGUGUCAAGCCCGAGCGCGUAAUGAAAGUGAACGGAGGUGGGAACCCGCAAGGGUGCACCAUCGACCGAUCCUGAAGUUUACGGAAGGAUUUGAGUAAGAGCAUGGCUGUUGGGACCCGAAAGAUGGUGAACUAUGCUUGAAUAGGGUGAAGCCAGAGGAAACUCUGGUGGAGGCUCGCAGCGGUUCUGACGUGCAAAUCGAUCGUCAAAUUUGGGCAU
rnacentral:rRNA from 1 species